CGUACCAUGCAGUCGAGCGGAAACGAUGGAGCUUGCUCCAGGCGUCGAGCGGCGGACGGGUGAGUAAUGCAUAGGAAUCUGCCCGGUAGUGGGGGAUAACCUGGGGAAACCCAGGCUAAUACCGCAUACGUCCUACGGGAGAAAGCAGGGGAUCUUCGGACCUUGCGCUAUCGGAUGAGCCUAUGUCGGAUUAGCUUGUUGGUGAGGUAAUGGCUCACCAAGGCGACGAUCCGUAGCUGGUCUGAGAGGAUGAUCAGCCACAUCGGGACUGAGACACGGCCCGAACUCCUACGGGAGGCAGCAGUGGGGAAUAUUGGACAAUGGGCGAAAGCCUGAUCCAGCCAUGCCGCGUGUGUGAAGAAGGCUUUCGGGUUGUAAAGCACUUUCAGUGAGGAAGAAGGCCUUGGGGCUAAUACCCCCGAGGAAGGACAUCACUCACAGAAGAAGCACCGGCUAACUCCGUGCCAGCAGCCGCGGUAAUACGGAGGGUGCGAGCGUUAAUCGGAAUUACUGGGCGUAAAGCGCGCGUAGGCGGCGUGAUAAGCCGGUUGUGAAAGCCCCGGGCUCAACCUGGGAACGGCAUCCGGAACUGUCAGGCUAGAGUGCA
rnacentral:rRNA from 1 species